UUUAUGGAGAGUUUGAUCCUGGCUCAGGAUGAACGCUGGCGGCGUGCCUAAUACAUGCAAGUCGAGCGAACGGACGAGAAGCUUGCUUCUCUGAUGUUAGCGGCGGACGGGUGAGUAACACGUGGAUAACCUACCUAUAAGACUGGGAUAACUUCGGGAAACCGGAGCUAAUACCGGAUAAUAUUUUGAACCGCAUGGUUCAAAAGUGAAAGACGGUCUUGCUGUCACUUAUAGAUGGAUCCGCGC
rnacentral:rRNA from 1 species